rnacentral:lncRNA from 1 species
UAUAUAUAUAUAUAUAUAUAUAUAGAGAGAGAGAGAGAGAGAGAGAGAGAGAGAGAGAGAGCGCUAGGCUGGAAUAUUAUUGAUAGCAAAAAGUUUUUUUUGCUAUCAAGUUUUUAACUUUUGAAUGAGAAAUUGUAGAAUUGGGAUGAUAUUAGUCACUUAGAUUGAAUGGUCCCCCUAGGGUUGAGUGGUCUUCACUGGGUUAUAAUAUUUAAUCCAAUAGUUAGAAAUGAUGAAAGGAAUUGAUCCAAAAUUAAAAAUUUGAUAACAAAAAGCCCUUUUGAUAUUAAUAGUAUUCUAGCCCAACUCUCUCUCUCUCUAUAUAUAUAGUGGUGGAAUUAUCUAUGAUGUAGAAAAAAAAAUUUAUUUAAAAAAUAAUUAGGGAGAUAAAAAAAAUGUUUUAAGAAAAUAGUUGCAUGUAGUUGAUAAGUAAAAAUAAUUUUUUUACUUAAAGUUACUCUUUGUAAUUAUUGUAGUUAGAAUUGAAACUUAUUUGGGCGUAAUUCUAGCUGCAGUUGAGCCUGCUCCUACAGCUUCAACUGCAAUAGUUGAAGUUAAAAGCAUAAA